ACGGGGGAGAGUAAUACAUGGAACCCGCGUGCAUCCGAGGGGUAAAUAUUGGAAAAAAUGACGCUUACCCCAUAUAAGUCUUCGAUGCAUGUGGUUUGAUUAAAAAAAGAGGUUGCACCUUCAGCUGAUGGAUGUGCCCUGGAUGAAUUAGCUGGUGGGGGAAGGAACGGCUCACGCGACCAUUCAUGCCCGACCUACCUGGGAGGUCGAUCGCCCUGGUUGUGACUGACACACCACACUCCUUCCUACGGCAGGCAUAGGGAAUCAAUCUUCCUGGACGGAAGUCUGACUGACGGACCCACGCCGCGUGAAUAAAGAUUGAUUUCCGUUCAGCUCUGUCUGUUGAUAAAAAAGAACGUGAGAGUGAAAAGUUGUUAUGGGGGCGACGUCUUCUAACAAAAGGACCGCUAAUUACUAGCUGCCAGCCGCCGCGGUACUACGGUCCCGAGCGUUGUCCGGAUGAAUUGUUGGUAGUACAAGCAGCGCAGGCUAGAUAAUACUGAUGAUGUGAGAUGCGCCUGAUCCAUCGGACACGGUCAUUGCUGACUGACUGACUUGAGUGAGGAGAAAGAGAAAGUACUUGCGUGUGUAGGGGAGGCAUGCAUAUAUGUAUGAACGACCACGGCUGGCGCAGGUCACUCUCUGGUCUGUGACUGUGACUGACGAUCGCAAGCGUGAGCUAACAAGGAUUAAAUACAUACCCUGGUCCACCCCCGUACAC
rnacentral:rRNA from 1 species